rnacentral:rRNA from 1 species
UACGUAGGGACCGAGCGUUGUCCGGAUUCAUUGGGCGUAAAGAGCUCGUAGGCGGCUGCUCAAGUCGAAUGUGAAAACUCGAGGCUCAACCUCGAGCCUGCAUUCGAUACUGGGCGGCUAGAGUCUGGUAGGGGGAUCUGGAAUUCCUGGUGUAGCGGUGGAAUGCGCCAGAUAUCAGGAAGAACACCCGUGGCGAAGGCGCUCUGCUAGGCCGUAACUGACACUGAGACGCGAAAGCGUGGGGAGCGAACAGG